UUUAGUAGGUGUUAAAUGUAUUCGAUUAAAAAUAUUGUGAACUGUAUAGAUCUGAGUGACUUAAUGAACAUACAGAUUUUACUAUGAUAUGAAAAAAAACUUCAUUAAAAGUCCACGUAAAAUCCAAAAAUUAUCGUUGAUAUGUGGAAAAUCUAAAUAAUUUAAUGUAGAACACACUUAUACAUAUGAAUAACGUCAAAAUUUCAAUACCGAAGGGAAAUCCUGUGCGAUAAUAUACCUACCGGGACUGAUCUGAUUUUAUAGACACUCGUCUGGAGAGACUAAUACUUAUAGAUCUAUAGAGAUCAAGAUGAGCCUAAAGACAAAAGUAACUGUGCCAGGCAAAGCUGCAUUAUUAGACAUCGUGAUCGCGGUGGAUGACGAGAAGUUUUUUAUCUACGGUAGGUAGAUAUUAAAAUUUUGUUACAGUGGCGUAAAUACGGGAAUUCAGGGAAUGCGGCUACAUUAGAGCCCUUUCUGAAUACUGUUUUUUUUUGGUCAUUAAUAAAAAAUGUUUGUGUAAUAAGAGAAGCAGAACUCAUGGACAUUACGUAGAUUAUUGAUAAAUUUGCGUAUUCAAAAGCCCGUUAAGUAAAAUUUAAACUGUUAU